CCCAACUAUCCCUAUUAAUCAUUACGGUGAUCCUAGAAACCAACAAAAUAGAACCAAACCGUCCUAUUUUAUUAUUCCAUGCUAAUGUAUUCAGACGGAUGCCUGCUUUAAACACUCUAAUUUUUUCAAAGUAACAGUCCUGAUUUCCCCCCACACCAACUGAAUGACAUGGAGAUUCCUCAGAAGGUAGGAACUCGUCACACCAGUGCAGACAGUUAAGCCUGACCAAUGGGCAAAUCCCGAAGUUCAACUACGAGCUUUUUAACUGCAACAACUUUAAUAUACGCUAUUGGAGCUGGAAUUACCGCGGCUGCUGGCACCAGACUUGCCCUCCAA
rnacentral:misc_RNA from 1 species